rnacentral:rRNA from 1 species
AGUGAACGCUGGCGGUAGGCCUAACACAUGCAAGUCGAACGGCAGCACAGUAAGAGCUUGCUCUUACGGGUGGCGAGUGGCGGACGGGUGAGGAAUACAUCGGAAUCUACUUUUUCGUGGGGGAUAACGUAGGGAAACUUACGCUAAUACCGCAUACGACCUACGGGUGAAAGCAGGGGAUCUUCGGACCUUGCGCGAUUGAAUGAGCCGAUGUCGGAUUAGCUAGUUGGCGGGGUAAAGGCCCACCAAGGCGAGGAUCCGUAGCUGGUCUGAGAGGAUGAUCAGCGACACUGGAACUUGGACACGGUCCAGACUCCUACGGGAGGCAGCAGUGGGGAAUAUUGGACAAUGGGCGCAAGCCUGAUCCAGCCAUACCGCGUGGGUGAAGAAGGCCUUCGGGUUGUAAAGCCCUUUUGUUGGGAAAGAAAAGCAGCAGGUUAAUACCCCGCUGUUCUGACGGUACCCAAAGAAUAAGCACCGGCUAACUUCGUG